AACGUAGGUUCCGAGCGUUAUCCGGAUUUACUGGGCGUAAAGCGCGUUCAGGCGGUUUGGCAAGUCGGGCAUGAAAUCCCUCGGCUUAACCGGGGAACUGCGUCUGAUACUGGAUGGCUUGAGUUCGGGAGAGGGAUGCGGAAUUCCAGGUGUAGCGGUGAAAUGCGUAGAUAUCGGAAGGAACACCGGUGGCGAAAGCGGCGCGCUGGACCUCUUCUGACGCUGAGGCGCGAAAGCCAGGGGAGCAAACGGG
rnacentral:rRNA from 1 species